GAUGAACGCUGGCGGCGUGCCUAACACAUGCAAGUCGAACGAAGCACCUUUUAAGAUUCUUCGGAUGAUUGAUUGGUGACUGAGUGGCGGACGGGUGAGUAACGCGUGGGUAACUUGCCCGGUACAGGGGGAUAACAGUUGGAAACGGCUGCUAAUACCGCAUAAGCGCACGAGAGGACAUCCUUUCGUGUGAAAAACUCCGGUGGUACAGGAUGGGCCCGCGUCUGAUUAGCUGGUUGGCAGGGUAACGGCCUACCAAGGCAACGAUCAGUAGCCGGUCUGAGAGGAUGAACGGCCACAUUGGAACUGAGACACGGUCCAAACUCCUACGGGAGGCAGCAGUGGGGAAUAUUGCACAAUGGGGGAAACCCUGAUGCAGCAACGCCGCGUGAGUGAAGAAGUAUUUCGGUAUGUAAAGCUCUAUCAGCAGGGAAGAUAAUGACGGUACCUGACUAAGAAGCUCCGGCUAAAUACGUGCCAGCAGCCGCGGUAAUACGUAUGGAGCAAGCGUUAUCCGGAUUUACUGGGUGUAAAGGGUGCGUAGGUGGCAGUGCAAGUCAGAUGUGAAAGGCCGGGGCUCAACCCCGGAGCUGCAUUUGAAACUGCAUAGCUAGAGUACAGGAGAGGCAGGCGGAAUUCCUAGUGUAGCGGUGAAAUGCGUAGAUAUUAGGAGGAACACCAGUGGCGAAGGCGGCCUGCUGGACUGUUACU
rnacentral:rRNA from 1 species